rnacentral:tRNA from 1 species
ACACUGAUGGUUCAGUGGUAGAAUUCUUGCCUUCCUAGCAGGAGACCAGGGUUCGAUUCCCGGCCAAUGUA